GGGGGGCAGACACAGAGGUAUCUGCCUCUGCUGAUGCUGCAGUUUCCAGUGUGUAUGUGAGAGGCAGUCUGCAGGUGUGUGUGUGUGUGUGUGUGUGUGUGUGUGUGUGUGUGUGUGUGUGUGUGGUACAAAGGCUACAGGAUUACUGAAGUGGAGAGACACACAAACACGAUCUCUGGGUCAGGGGGACACCUCUCUCUUCUAAUUUAAAGCGACAGAGGAGCAAGCCAGCGCUGCAUUUAUCUGCUCUGAUGACAAUCAGCAGAACCUCCCAAACCACCGUACCCUCGAACCGUACUGCCGUCAGCCAAAACCUAACCUCAGCUUGCAGAGGAGCUGCCUCUCUGACCGCUGGUCGGAUCAUCCCAGGUCAGGAUGAGGGGCACGUCGUCAUCCGUACCCUCCAUUCUCCCGGACUGGCAAGAUGAAAUCCACAGGAAAAAGCAACGUAGUACCCCCCAACUAGCUAGCUAGCGUUAUUAGCUGAUAAUUCCUGCUAGCUAGACUAGCCCUUAGCUACUGGCUAAUGCUAUGGUCAAAACAUACACGACAUAGCUAGCUAUCAUCUGCAGCUAGCAUAACGACGCAUCUUGCUAGCUAGAUAACGUUAGCUAUCUCUUCCUACCUGGAUAACUAGCUAGCUUUCCAGGUGACUCCACUAAACUAAGAGUGCUCGAAAAGCACCCGAUAAACGAGCUUAUCUUCAUUAACAGUCGUCUAUUAGUCAAAUAGAGCUAGAUACUAGAGCUAGAUACUGCUCCUUGAUUUAUCCCGAGUUGACAUCUGUCAUUGACCAGUAAACUAUGCUAUUCUAACUAAUCGAUGUCCAGUCCAUCAGCAUCAGCUGCCUACAAAGAUAUUUGCUAGCGGAGACUGAGAAGAGUAAAGUGAAGAGUUUUGUAAACCAUGACUUAUAAGCAUUUUAUUGGUACCACCAUCAACUAAGGAAGUGAUGUCACUGAGUACUACCCCCAUUUAUAGAACCUUUCACCCACACCUGGGAUGAUGCCUGAUGAAGACCAAAGGGUUGAAACGUUGUUAUAGUAAAGUCACCUGGGAGCAUAAGCAGCAGUGUGUGGCAUUUUCCUUUUUAUUUGGCAUGUAAUACAACUAUCUAAUGAGCCUAAAUAACAUGAUCAUGACCAUUAUUUACCCCCCCCCCCCCCACACCUCUUAGUAACUGUGUUGUAAAACCUUGUCCCUUCAGUAAGUAUUCAUACCCUUUGACUUAUUCCAAAUGUUGCAGUUUUACAGCCUGAAUCCAAAAAGGAUUAGUGAGGGGCUGCCAUUGAGGCUGCUGGAGUUGCAGGGGGUAUUGUUAGAGAAACUGAUCACCAGCCCGGCUGAGGAAUGUGAAAGAACACGCUACAUGCAGGUGUUGCUUCGCCAUGACACCAACAUGGAGCUAGUUGCAACACUGGAGAUGGAAGUCGCUGCCGCCAUCGAAGACAGAGAUGCAAAGAUCUCUAAGAAAAAUGAGGUGAUCAGGAAGUUGAAGAGCUCUAUCACACCCUGAUCUGUUUCACCUGUCUUUGUGAUUGUCUCCACCCCCCUCCAGGUGUCGCCCAUCUUCCCCAUUAUCCCUUGUGUAUUUAUACCUGUGUUCUGUUUCUGUUGCCAGUUUGUCCAAGUCAACCAGUGGUUUGUGUCUCAGCGCCUGCUUUGUCCAGUCUCUUUUCUCGCCCUCCUGGUUUUGACCCUUGCCUGUCCUGACUCCGAGCCGGCCUGACUGACCACUCUGCCUGACCCUGAGCCUCUGCUGACCUGUACCUUUGCAGCCCUCUGGAUUACCGACCUCUGCCUUACCCUGAGCCUGCCUGCCACCCUGUACCGUUGCCCUACCUCUGGUUUACGGACUCCUGCCUGCCUUGACCUGUCUAUUGACUGCCCGUUGGAAUAUUAAACUAUUGUUUACUCGACGUGGUCUGCAUCUGGGUCUUCCCUUCAUACCUGAUACUCUGCACCAGAUGGAGAAGAUCUGAGGACUUUGUGUUUGCAAACACAGCAGGAAACCGGCAAGCAGGGGUGCCAGGUCAAGCUAAAACUUCUAGCCUAAGGACCACUCAAAACCACCCAAAAGGCCUAAAAACUAGCCCACAUUUUUUUUUCACAGCAAGAGAGGAGUUGCCAUAUCUAUACAAUAAACCCCUUUUCCAUAAGGUUAUCGAGCCAAUUAAGGAAUAUCAUAGUAACUUGUAACGACCGUUAGAAGCAAAAUUCGGGUUUCCUCAAAAUAAUUAUUGUAAGCUAUGACAUAAUAAAGGAAUUUGAAUAAGUUACAAGAGAAAAGAUAAUUUGCCCUUAAACUCACCAGAUCAUUUUCCAUCAAUGGAUGUCGAUUUAACCUGCUUGACUGCUAUGAUUAAGUAAUAAGGCACAAGGGGGUAUGGUAUAUGGCCAAUAUACCACGGCUAAGGGCUGUUCUUAAGAAUGACGCAACGCGGAGUGCCUGGAUACAGCCUUUAUCCGUGGUAUAGUGGCCAUAUACCACAAACCCCCGGGGUGCCUUACUGCUAUUAUAAACUGGUUACCAACGUAAUUAGAGCAGUAAAAUGUAAUGUUCUGUCAUACCGUGGUAUAUUGUUACGUACGCCUCUAGGAAGAGGAAACGCAACACCCUGCUACAACUCAACUUCCCGUGGAGUGAAAGAGGUAUGGGACUGUAGGUGCGAGUAAGGAUGACAAAAGGCAGAGAAUUUACCGUUUACUAGGAAUUUAUUCCGUCACACGGUAAAUUUGGGGAAAAGGGGCUGAACGGAACCAAAGCAAGUAAAUGUCAAAGCCCCCUCUCCUACCUUAACUACCCACUACUUACCUAACUAGCACCACCUUGCGCACUAACCAAAAUACAGGGGAUGGUCCACCCAGGUCUUACCUAGUGUGCAUAGACAGAGUAUAUACUACGGGUAUAUGUAUGCCUGCAG